ACGUCUUUCUCGGUGAGCUUUUCUCCCAAUUCCUUUCCAGCCAGCCUCACAGUCACAUCUCCCAUACUUCCCUGCAUGGUCAUGUUGAACAGCAUCCUGCAUGCUUGAGCCAGCCUUGAUUUGCAGGUCUGCUGCCCAGAACUGUAAGGUCAGACAUGGAGCGAGACUGCAAACCCAGCCAGCCGCCUGUGAGGCUUCCCAGACCAUGCAAAACGCCAGUGCAGUUGUGGGAUUCUAUAGAAAUAGCAAAUGUGAAGCCACUACUUGCCUCUCCUGUAGUUUGAGGAGCUAGAUUUUGGAGCUACUUGCCCAAAAUGACAGCAAUGCUAUAUCUUCCACAAAUCAGUUUCUGCAUCAGACACCAGAGUUUUAUGAACCUAAUAUUUAUUAAGUCAAUGGACUGUAGGACAUCGCUUCUGAAGCAAGGCUGAGACACUCAGGUGUACUGACAACAUCCGUUUCUCAAAACCAACUUAAGCACUUGACCUUAAAGCUUAACACCGUCUGUGGUGGGCAGGAGGAACCCCUGAAGCAUAGCUCUGUUCAGCAGCAUGGGGGGAACAUACCUAGGUCAACAACCUUCUCUCCCUCCUUCCCUCCACCCCUGUGAGCUGUUACAUAGUGUUGUCUAAAUAUCUUGUAUCUGGCUCUGGCUUCCUUCACUGUACAGAAUGUGGUUUCUGGAAAAUGUGCCUUUCAAAGACACUGAGGUGGAUAUCCAUCCAAAUUGCAUGGGUUUUACAUGGCUAUGAAGUCCACAAGCAGAAUUUGUCAAGGAGGACAUGAUCCUAACCCUGUUUGGAAAUGACAAAGGAAACAAAAUAACCAGUUAUUAUCAUAAACACACAAAACCUGUGCCACAGCUGGCAUGCCAACAGACUUCAAUACAUUCAGUGUUGAAUCCUUGUAUAUUGGGCUUGUUCACUUAUUUAUGCCCCAAAUCAAGCUCCUAGCCAUGCAUCUCCCUGCUUGUAGCGUGACUUGGUGUAAUUCUGCUAUACCAAUUUCAGACUUAUUAAGAAAAACUCCAAACAUCGUAUUACUCUGUGUAUUUCAUAUGUACAUGGUAGCAGCUGAUGAAAUCUUCCAGGAAGGAAGGGGAAAUCUGCAGCCUUGUUAACUAACAUUUUUGAAAUGAGAGAGAGAAAAAAUCUUAGCUGGAAGCGUGAAUCUGUAUACUUACCACCAUAACACGGAUCCUUCCCAGUGCCUUUGCAGACACGCAAAGAAGCAGGGCAAAAGCUCUCCUAAAAUAGCUUGGAUUAACUAGUUUGGAGAUUUACCAACCUUGUUAAUUCCAGGGAACUGGUGAGAAAUUUUCCAUAUAAAUUGGAAAUUAUCUGAAUGGAAUGAAAAUGUUGCCAAAAUGUUAGCAAAUUCUUCAUGCCCAGCCUCUGUUUUCCUGUAGCUCUCCUUGGGCCUGACUCACCUCCUCCUGGAAUCACUGGACAUCCUUCUCCUGGAUUUGUUGGAAGCUUCUCUGGUCGUGUACAUUUUACUUUGAAAUUCUGAGAAAUUUAUGUACAAUGCUGUGAGUUGAUGUAGAAGUAAACAUUUAUUGUACAGAGAAUUAAUACUGAAAAGAAAUGUUA